GCCAUGCCGCGUGUGUGAAGAAGGCCUUCGGGUUGUAAAGCACUUUCAGCGAGGAGGAAAGGUCAGUAGCUAAUAUCUGCUGACUAUGACGUUACUCGCAGAAGAAGCACCGGCUAACUCCGUGCCAGCAGCCGCGUAAU
rnacentral:rRNA from 1 species